GAAGGAGAAAAAAUACAAGGUCAUUCGGCCAUAUUGUAGCCAAAGAAGGCCAUGGAAGAUUGAUAAAAAAAAAAAUGUUUUCUUCUAGCUUUUCUACUAAUUUGAAGGUCCUUAUUAACAUGAAGGAGUUGUGGGAGCAAUUAAAUCAUUUAUUUGUGCAAAACAUGCUCCUAGCCGAGUGAAGGGAUAAGGGAAAAAGACUAGCAAGCUUGGAUAAAUAAGCGUAGCUAAUAAGGCGUGGCACAGGUACACACAGAUGAGUAGAAGGUUUGUCAGAAGAUGUUUCAGCAGGAUUGGCGAACUCCAUUUGCUCCUGGAGUGUUGCCGAGUCAGAGUAUGUAUGCUAUGAUGUUUUGUUCGCAGUUAGAGACUUUGCAGACAGAGUGUGGGUAUAGAAUGUCAGAUUUGUAAGCGGCUCCAUCAGCCGAUGAGUCAUUUUGUGUCAUGUGAUAAAUUCCAUAUGAUUACAGAUUUUGUUGAUUUGGGAACAACGAAAAAGAAUAUUUCUGAAAGUUGUACUAUGUAUUUCAUCUCUAUUUGAUUUAAAAGUUUUUUUUUUUUUUUUAUUAUGGGUGCACUAAGGGUCAGAGGGUUCGCUCGGCCCUAAGUAAGGGUCGGGUGCCCAUCACACCCUAGGGAGAUUAGGGUGUAACACAAAUGGUUUAAAUAUCACAUUUGAUAAAAUAAUAAAAUAUUUCAUAUGAUCAAGCAAAUAAAAUAAUAAAUUUUUAUAUUUUUUUCUCUAACACUUUCCGCGCAAUGCGCGGGUACGUAUACUAGUUCUCUUUUUAAUAACUAGUCUUA